rnacentral:rRNA from 1 species
UCACCAGACUCCUACGGGAGGCAGCAGUGAGGAAUAUUGGUCAAUGGGCGCGAGCCUGAACCAGCCAAGUCGCGUGAGGGAAGACGGUCCUAUGGAUUGUAAACCUCUUUUGUCGGGGAGCAAAAGACGCCACGCGUGGCGUUCCGAGAGUACCCGAAGAAAAAGCAUCGGCUAACUCCGUGCCAGCAGCCGCGGUAAUACGGAGGAUGCGAGCGUUAUCCGGAUUUAUUGGGUUUAAAGGGUGCGCAGGCGGAAGAUAAAGUCAGGGGUAAAAUUGAGGGGCUCAACCUCUUCGAGCCGUUGAAACUGGUUUUCUUGAGUGAGCGAGAAGUAUGCGGAAUGCGUGGUGUAGCGGUGAAAUGCAUAGAUAUCACGCAGAACUCCGAUUGCGAAGGCAGCAUGCCGGCUCCACACUGACGCUGAAGCACGAAGGCGUGGGUAUCGAACAGGAUUAGAUACCCCCGUAGU